rnacentral:rRNA from 1 species
AAACCAACAGGGAUUGCCUCAGUAACGGCGAGUGAAGCGGCAAAAGCUCAAAUUUGAAAUCUAACACUUUCAGUGUUCGAGUUGUAAUUUGAAGAAAGUUUCUCUGAGUAGUCCUUUAUCUAUGUUCCUUGGAACAGGACGUCAUAGAGGGUGAGAAUCCCGUAUGAUUUUGGAUACUAUUCUUUGUGAGAUUCUUUCGAAGAGUCGAGUUGUUUGGGAAUGCAGCUCUAAGUGGGUGGUAAAUUCCAUCUAAAGCUAAAUAUUGGCGAGAGACCGAUAGCGAACAAGUACAGUGAUGGAAAGAUGAAAAGAACUCUGAAGAGAGAGUGAAAAAGUACGUGAAAUUGCUGAAAGGGAAGGGCUUUAGGUCAGACUUGGUGUUUAAAUGAUUAUCUUCUCUUUUUGAGUUGUGCACUCGUUUUUCACUGGGCCAAUAUCGUAGUUUUGUGGUAGAGCCUACUAGUAGUAAUGUAGUCUUUCGUUCGGAUUGAGUUGUUAUACGUCCUUUAAGACGUAUCUU